rnacentral:rRNA from 1 species
AGAGUUUGAUCCUGGCUCAGGACGAACGCUGGCGGCGUGCCUAAUACAUGCAAGUCGAGCGAGCUUGCCUAGAUGAUUUUAGUGCUUGCACUAAAUGAAACUAGAUACAAGCGAGCGGCGGACGGGUGAGUAACACGUGGGUAACCUGCCCCAAGAGACUGGGAUAACACCUGGAAACAGAUGCUAAUACCGGAUAACAACACUAGACGCAUGUCUAGAGUUUGAAAGAUGGUUCUGCUAUCACUCUUGGAUGGACCUGCGGUGCAUUAGCUAGUUGGUAAGGUAACGGCUUACCAAGGCAAUGAUGCAUAGCCGAGUUGAGAGACUGAUCGGCCACAUUGGGACUGAGACACGGCCCAAACUCCUACGGGAGGCAGCAGUAGGGAAUCUUCCACAAUGGACGAAAGUCUGAUGGAGCAACGCCGCGUGAGUGAAGAAGGGUUUCGGCUCGUAAAGCUCUGUUGGUAGUGAAGAAAGAUAGAGGUAGUAACUGGCCUUUAUUUGACGGUAAUUACUUAGAAAGUCACGGCUAACUACGUGCCAGCAGCCGCGGUAAUACGUAGGUGGCAAGCGUUGUCCGGAUUUAUUGGGCGUAAAGCGAGUGCAGGCGGUUCAAUAAGUCUGAUGUGAAAGCCUUCGGCUCAACCGGAGAAUUGCAUCAGAAACUGUUGAACUUGAGUGCAGAAGAGGAGAGUGGAACUCCAUGUGUAGCGGUGGAAUGCGUAGAUAUAUGGAAGAACACCAGUGGCGAAGGCGGCUCUCUGGUCUGCAACUGACGCUGAGGCUCGAAAGCAUGGGUAGCGAACAGGAUUAGAUACCCUGGUAGUCCAUGCCGUAAACGAUGAG